rnacentral:tRNA from 1 species
CGGGAUGUGGCCCAGUUUGGUCCAGGGCGCUGGUCUGGGGGACCAGAGAUCCGGGGUUCGAAUCCCCGCAUCCCGACCA